GACGAACGCUGGCGGCGUGCCUAAUACAUGCAAGUAGAACGCUGAAGGAGGAGCUUGCUUCUCUGGAUGAGUUGCGAACGGGUGAGUAACGCGUAGGUAACCUGCCUGGUAGCGGGGGAUAACUAUUGGAAACGAUAGCUAAUACCGCAUAAGAGUAGAUGUCGCAUGACAUUUGCCUAAAAGGUGCAAUUGCAUCACUACCAGAUGGCCCUGCGUUGUAUUAGCUAGUUGGUGAGGUAACGGCUCACCAAGGCAACGAUACAUAGCCGACCUGAGAGGGUGAUCGGCCACACUGGGACUGAGACACGGCCCAGACUCCUACGGGAGGCAGCAGUAGGGAAUCUUCGGCAAUGGACGGAAGUCUGACCGAGCAACGCCGCGUGAGUGAAGAAGGUUUUCGGAUCGUAAAGCUCUGUUGUAAGAGAAGAACGAGUGUGAGAGUGGAAAGUUCACACUGUGACGGUAUCUUACCAGAAAGGGACGGCUAACUACGUG
rnacentral:rRNA from 1 species